UGUGCCACCGUGAACAUGUCCCAUCUCGUCUAAUCUUGGAAGCUAAGCAGGGUCGGGCCUGGUUAGUACUCAGAUGGGAGAAGGAAAGGGGUGUUGCAACCCAGGGCUCCCAUUUAAGAGCCCGUGGGCCCACGG
rnacentral:rRNA from 1 species